UUCACUACUGCCUACAGACUUUCUACAUCCUUGAGUUUCGAAACCUCGCCAAGGCUUCCUUUAUUGUUGCUGACAAGUAAAUUGAUGGCUAAGCAAACACUGCAACAACAUGUUUACUCCUGUACAUUAAGAUUGUAAAACUGUGAAACUAAACCUUACCAUCAUCCUAAGAACAUCUGCCUUCAUGACCAUGUUAAGCACUUCCCCUAACUCUUAUUUUCCAUGGAAACUAGAAGAAAUGCGGAGGGGAAGGAAAUGAACAGAAUACCAAGUAAACCUUUCCUUCAUCUGUAACGUAUACAAGAUCUUGUUUCCUGCAGUUUCUGUACCUAGAUGCCUGUAUAAUAAUUACAGAAUCUGGCUUUGUUUUCCUAAAUUCUCAUUAUUACAGAUAAGAAUACAAACGUAUGUAUAAACAGAACAUUAUAUGAGAUUCAAGACCAACAAAAGCUACUUUGAGAUUACAGUUAAUGGUUCUCUGCCUUUUUAUAAUAUAGUGGUGAAGGAAUUUUUUUUAUACAUCAGAACAUUACUGUAAACAAAGUGAAAAUUAACAGAAUGGCUUACCUCACACAGCAAUCCAGACUCCUGCAAGUUCAAGAGACAGCACAAGAACAACUGGAAAGUGGGAAGCAAAAAAGUUAGUUUUAUACACCAGUGAAAUGUUCUGCAUAUGUUGCAAUGUCAUCAUUUCAUAUAAAAUAGCUUUAAAAGGGUGUCUUCAUUUGGCCCCUGCAACACAGCUGAACUCUGAAAAAAAUUACCAGUUUUAUAUCUGAAAUGCAGAGCUUAGCAGGACCAUUUCCUUAAAUAUUGUAUAAACUGGCGCAUUGUUCUCA